UAGAACAUCUAUAAUAAAACAGUGGCUCACAAAACAAAAAAAUGUACUAGCUAUCUUCAUCAUUUGGUAAUGAUCACAGGGAUUUAAAAAAUAUUAAUAUUUUAAUUAGUGGAUGCAGACUUUUGCAAGGUUGGGAAGACAUGGUGGGAUCUACCACAUAAUAAGGGUGACAUCAUACUCGUCGUCAAAGGGUAUUGCCAUUUACUUUUGGCCACGGCAAAGAGUGUUCUUACCCUUCUCUCCCUCCAUCAACUCUCUAACAAGCAUCUCCACUUCAUCUCUCUUGAAAGUGUUAUCAAUCUCCAUGCCACUGCCCCAUUCAUUGCAAGUAUAAUAACAAUUGGUUCUCUGGUCAGCAAAGAAUGGCGAGCAGAUCAUAGGCACUCCUGCAGUCAGAGCUCAAAGAAUCUUCUGGAAUCUGAUUGAGAAGUAAUUGGAUAGGUCCAAUGGUAUGAAGAGGUGGAAUCAGCAUAGAUGAGAGAGCAUCCAUAACAUCUUGUUCCAAAGCAUCAAAUUUUGGAUGCAGGUUGGAAGAUCCCGUAGACGAAUCAUACUUUACCAUCAAACGGCCACGAGUGAUCCCCAACAAAUCAUCAGCUAACGAAAAGCUAGCCCAGAUAGGAGCUGAAUCAAAAAACUGAAUAUCCAGGUCUAAACUGAAUAUCCAGUCCGCCAAACCAUUCUUCUCUCUGAAAA